rnacentral:misc_RNA from 1 species
AUGAUUAAUAUUUAGACAAGUAAAUAUCAAAUAUCAAAACAAAGUCAAAAUUGCCAAUACAUCAAUAAUAUAAUACAAAGCCAUAUAUGUCUUUAACUUGGUCCACUCUAGAAGCUCUUAAAACAUUUUGCAAUAUAAAAUUUUGAGAGUGCAGUAGCCACAAUGUACGGAGAGUUGCAACUUGAAAGUACACUUGUACGAUGAUGAUUGAUAAGCAAUACCUGAAACCAAGAUCCUCAGCA